GCAAUGCCUUACUUGAUAAGGUGCUAAUUACUUAGACUACAUGUAUUUUGUUCCUCUCUGAGUAGAGUAACGCU
rfam:Pteropus alecto contig42584, whole genome shotgun sequence.